UGGCGAGUGGCGGACGGGUGAGUAAUGUCUGGGAAACUGCCCGAUGGAGGGGGAUAACUACUGGAAACGGUAGCUAAUACCGCAUAACGUCGCAAGACCAAAGUGGGGGACCUUCGGGCCUCACACCAUCGGAUGUGCCCAGAUGGGAUUAGCUAGUAGGUGGGGUAAUGGCUCACCUAGGCGACGAUCCCUAGCUGGUCUGAGAGGAUGACCAGCCACACUGGAACUGAGACACGGUCCAGACUCCUACGGGAGGCAGCAGUGGGGAAUAUUGCACAAUGGGCGCAAGCCUGAUGCAGCCAUGCCGCGUGUAUGAAGAAGGCCUUCGGGUUGUAAAGUACUUUCAGCGGGGAGGAAGGCGGUGAGGUUAAUAACCUCGCCGAUUGACGUUACCCGCAGAAGAAGCACCGGCUAACUCCGUGCCAGCAGCCGCGGUAAUACGGAGGGUGCAAGCGUUAAUCGGAAUUACUGGGCGUAAAGCGCACGCAGGCGGUCUGUUAAGUCAGAUGUGAAAUCCCCGGGCUUAACCUGGGAACUGCAUUUGAAACUGGCAGGCUUGAGUCUCGUAGAGGGGGGUAGAAUUCCAGGUGUAGCGGUGAAAUGCGUAGAGAUCUGGAGGAAUACCGGUGGCGAAGGCGGCCCCCUGGACGAAGACUGACGCUCAGGUGCG
rnacentral:rRNA from 1 species